GAGACCCACGCCCACAGUUGCCAGCGUACUCUCCGGAGUGACGGGUACACUGUGGGGACCGCCGCUGCUAAAGCGGAGGAAGGAAUGGGCAACGGUAGGUCAGUAUGCCCCGAAUAUCCCGGGCUACACGCGAGCUACAAUGGUUGGUACAAUGGGUAUCUACCCCGAAAGGGGAUGGGAAUCUCCUAAAACCAAUCUUAGUUCGGAUUGAGGGCUGCAACUCGCCCUCAUGAAGCUGGAAUCCGUAGUAUCGCGUUUUCAACAGAACGCGGUGAAUAC
rnacentral:rRNA from 1 species